rnacentral:rRNA from 1 species
UGGGGAAUAUUAGGCAAUGGGGGCAACCCUGACCUAGCCAUGCCGCGUGGGUGACGAAGGUCCUAGGAUUGUAAAGCCCUUUCAGCGGAGAAGAUGAUGACGGUAUCCGCAGAAGAAGCCCCGGCUAACUCCGUGCCAGCAGCCGCGGUAAGACGGAGGGGGCUAGCGUUGUUCGGAAUUACUGGGCGUAAAGGGCGUGUAGGCGGCCUACUAAGUCAGAGGUGAAAUCCCCGGGCUCAACCUGGGAACUGCCUUUGAUACUGGUGGGCUAGAGUCCGGGAGAGGGUAGUGGAAUUCCCAGUGUAGAGGUGAAAUUCGUAGAUAUUGGGAAGAACACCAGUGGCGAAGGCGGCUACCUGGACCGGAACUGACGCUGAGGCGCGAAAGCGUGGGGAGCAAACAGGAUUAGAUACCCCUGUAGUCC